AUCAUGCUCUCAAGGGAAUACCGAUCCAACUCUAUGAAUUUUCAGGCAUACUCUAACACAAUCAUAUCAUAUUAGACUAGGUGUGCAAACUUUAUUUCUUUCAAAUACCGAAGGUGCUCUGAGCAUUGAAGGCCAUCAAGAACUGUUCCCAAGUGAUCGGAAUGGGUAGGGUGGCCUGCUUGAGCUGCCACCAGCGACCUAUCUCUACCACGGGCAUGUAGGUGGUAAGUACAACUUUCUGUUCAGGAACCACCCUAAGAGUCGCGAAGGCCUUCUCUGUCUCAACUAAUCAAUACUCAGCCUCUUCGAAAGAGGAUGUCCUUGUAAAGGUAUAUGAGUUUAGUAUUUUGUAUAUUUUAAUGUAGUUUGGGUCCAUCAUAGGUAGAAUUAGGUCUCGUAGAAGAGCGACUGGAUUGUGCUGUAGAGGGACCAGGUGGCCCUGUGGUAGUGUUGGAUGAUAUG
rnacentral:lncRNA from 1 species